UACAGAGGAGCCAAGCGUUGUCCGGAUUGACUGGGCGUAAAGCGCACGCAGGCGGUCGCGCGCGUGGGGUGUGAAAUCUGGCCGCUUAACGGCCAGGCGCCAUCCCAUACGGCACGACUGGAGGGCUGCAGAGGUCGAUGGAAUUGCCGGUGUAGUGGUGAAAUGCGUAGAUAUCAGAAGGAACAUCAGUGGCGAAAGCGGCUUCCUGGUCCAGUACCGACGUUCAGGCACGAAAGCGUGGGGAGCAAACAGG
rnacentral:rRNA from 1 species